rnacentral:rRNA from 1 species
ACUAAUCUAGCUUUGAGUGGGGGACAACCCGGAGAAAUCUGGGCUAAUACCGCGUAACGUCUCUAAUGUCGCAUGGCUGUGAGACCAAAGGGGGGCCUCUGCUUGCAUGCCCUCGCUCAAAGGGGAGGUCGCGUUGUAUCAGCUUGUUGGGUGGGGUAGUGGCCUACAAGGCGACGACGCAUAGCGGGUCUGAGAGGACGACCCGCCACAGUUGGGACUGAGAUACGGCCCAG